rnacentral:sRNA from 1 species
GCCAGGUGUGGUGGCAUUUGGUUAUAGUCCCAGCUACUUGGGAGGCUGAGGCUAGAGGAUUGUUUAAGCCCAGGAGUUCUGGGUUGUAGUGUACUAUGCUGAUCAGGUGUCUGUACUAAGUUUGGCAUCAAUAUGGUGACCUCCCGGGAGUGCGGGAUCAACAGGUUGCCUAAGGAGGGGUGACCAGCCCAAGUUCAGAACCCCCAUGCUGA